ensembl:lncRNA
GAUUCAGAUGGCCAGGAAAUAUCACAACUCACCACCACGAGCAGUAGCCAGGGACGAGUGGAAAUCUAUACGCUCAGUUAAUGUUUUCCAGCUCCUCCGGGCACCGCUGCCCUGCAGACUUCUGCCAUCCGCCCAGGAGUGGAGGGCUGCUCUGCUUGGAGGAGAUUUUCCUAUAAAAAGAGCCCCCUGGCUGUUAUCCUUUGCAGUGUGAAGUGGAAAAUUACCUGGAUGAAGUUUCACGUGAAGCAGUAAGUUGUUGGAAACAGCUGGAGGAACUUCUGAGCUGAUCACAGAUAUGAAGCAAGUUCUGAGCGGUGCAGAGCUAAAGGGAAGAGAGAGCAAAGAAGAAAGGAGUGUGAGUCUGACCUCAGGGACCUGGCGCCCAGGUCUCCUGGGCAUGAGAAGCUGAGGUUUGGUCAGUGACAAGCUCCUCUGCCUACCUUUUAGGAUCCCUUCGAUCAGCCCUCACCCCAACUCUCCAACCUGAAUGACUGUUGGGUGGUUUCUACCAAGGGCAUAAUGGAGUAGAGAGACCCAGGGAGAAAGCAAGGCACCAAUCCAGCCUCAGCUCUGCCACUUGAUAGCUGUGUGACCUUAGGCAAGUUAUCUAACCUCUCUGGGCCUCAGCUAGCUAUUAUUGUCUUUAUUAUCAUGUUAUUCUUGCCAUCAAGAGUUACAAUCUCUGGGCAAAAGGAUGAACAUGCCUUGAAACAAAAGCAAAUCGUGUGCUCUGCCCUACUGGAGUUCACCAGAACUAGUACAAGCCAGGCUGGAGCAACCCAGGUUGACUUCAGGCAGGAAGCAGCAUUUGAGCAGGGCCUGAAAGGGCAGAUUUUGGAUGGACCUGGGAAAGAGAGAAGAAGCAGGAGGCAUAAAAUAUUUAGGUGAAACCACAAAGGCAGGAGUGGGUGUGGGCUGCCUGGAGGACAGAGGGGAGCCUGGGAACCACACGGAUGCCACAACUGCCUGCUGGCCCUGAGGACUGAAAGGCUUCUGAAAACAUUGUUCUGAAAAGGGUCCACAGGCUCCCUAUCAUCCCGAGAUGAGAGAAAGCUGACCUAAAAGAUGGGCUCCUUCCACCACUCCUCAGUUCUUCAGCCGACACGGCCCAUCCAGGUCCCUGGGGUUUGAUGGACGGGGGCCCUACUGCGCGUAAGGCUCUCGGGGAAGAAUACAGGACUUCUUGUUUUCCCUCAGUCAACACCACAUGGACACGUCAGCUUCAGCCCCUGAGUUUUCAGCAUGGCCCCUAAUUGAAUCACAUUUGUCUUUGUCAGGCCAUGGGUCCCAGACAGGGGCUCAGACACCGUGGCCACAGAACACAGGAACUCCUCAGGUGCAUGACUAACCCUCGAGCAACAGCCAGGUGAGCAGGGAAGGCAGAGGAGAUGGAGGGCUGGAGAGGCUUCGGGCCUUGUCCAAGAGCAGAGCCAGGCCGGGCCUCCCGCCCCAGGGCUCCGCAGGCAUGGGGAGAGCAGCGCAGUCUGGGCUCCCCCUGACCCAGAGCACUCAUGUCACCACUCAGCCUUCCACAGCUUGCCCACGAGGACCCGGUGCCCCGCCAGGCGCCGGCCCUGAGCGACGUGCAAAUGCAUUCUGCAGGCAGCCAGCCUCGGCUCUUCCUCAGCAGCGGCCGAGGGGCUGUGAAGGGACCCUUUUCCUCGCAUGUGACUCCCCCAGAUAGUGCAUGUGUGUCUGAAACAUGCUUCCGCGCAGAGGGAAACUCCGAUGAAGGCGGAGCCCCCUGCUCCGUCACCAGUACUCCAGCCCCCUGUGGCCCGGAGGGCCCCAGAUCCCCUUCUCCAGAUCACUCCUGGAACCCCAGAACGGUUCCCUGGGAUCCAAGACCCAGCAAAGGAGCCCACAAAGGAAAAUAACCUUGAAAUUGCAGGAUCAGAGGCCUAAACAAAGGCAGGCAAAUUGUAAGUGCCCCACGGGCUGGCCAGAGAGUGGCCCUCUGUGCUGGCACUGGGCAGGGCCCUGAGGAGGGAGCUGGGCUCCGUGGGUAUAAUGGAGCAGCCCGGGGCUUCACAAGGGCAGGUGCUCUGCACACAUUGCAGGGCUGCGGGUGCCUGGAUGGACCAUGGAUGCAUCUACUGUGCUCUCCUGUUCUCAGUGCUAGAGAUGUUCACUUCACCGUGCCAUCACAAUCUCUGUCCUGGCCAUGGCUGGCAGGCCCAACAACCCCAUGCCAGAAAUGAUUUAAUCUAAGCAUGAACAAAGGAUGCAGGAGCAGAGGAGAGAGUGGCUCACGCUCCUGGGAGUGCUGGGACCUCCUCUGGGUUGGACACUGUCAUGCACCACCCGGAUGGAUCUCCCUUCAAGGAAGAACUUGCUUCCGCAGCUGCUGGGAGUGGUGGCAGCAGACAGCCCUUAGCUGUCAGCCCCUCGCCAUUGCCUCAGCUGCAGGGAGUUGUCUUCUCAAGGUCAUGCCCUUUGCCAGGCAGCCCACAUCCGCGACGGAUCAAUGUGAGGUGCUGGGAAAAGCUGCCUCAGCCCAAAGCAGGUCCACUGACUGGGCCAUGCCAGCUGCAGAGCUUCUGCAGGUCCGGCCGAGGCUGUCAUCGGGCCUGCUCGGCAGCUUGACUUCUCCCUCCGCCCGUACCUGCUCCCUACCCCCUGCCCCAGGUUCCCAGGGCCCUCCUUACUAAACAUAAACCCCUUCUCAGAGUCUGCCUCCCAGGGAACCCAACCUGCAACUACUUUCCCUAAAGAGGAGGCAGCGUUGUCCACCAUGUGCAGGGCCCAAGGCAGGAUGCACACCCCUUGGUGGCUGCCCCCGUUAGCAGCUGGCAUCACGAUGCUGAACGAGGAGUGGUCCCACUUGCACACAGCUAUGCCUAGUGGGCUGACAGUGUAGAAAGGGCAACAAUAGACCCUUUCUUGGUGUUCUGAGGAGCACCAAGGGAUGUAUUUGCCUGAAGGGGUAAGAGGUGGCUUCCAUAGGAGCUGACAGUGCGUGCAGCUUUGAAGGAGGAGAGACAGUCCACAGGCAGAGGAGAGACAAGGCCCAGGGUGGAGGUCCUGCACCCCGAAUAUUUGCGUCGCCACAGAUGCGUGGAGAAAGGAGGCCUGUUGGAGGCCUAUGGAAGAAAUUGUGAGAUGAUCCAGGAGAUGUUUCCAGAAAGGUAGGCGGGGACCAGCCCAUGAGGGCCUCAUUUGAGCUUUAGUUUGGGGACAAUAGGGAGGCUUUGAGGAGUUUUAAGCAGGGGAACAUCAACAUCACGUUUGUUUGCUGGGAAAAUGACUAGGGUGGCAGAGACUGAUGGAAGGCGAGAACCCAGUUGGAGGACCUGAAUGAGAACCAAGGUGGGCUGAACUAAGAGGGCAGUGGGGGUGGGGAAUGUUACGCUGUUUCAGAGUCACUACGGAGGGGUGGGUUUUAGAACAGGAAGCCUGGGCAGAAGCCCUGCCUCUCACAGCGCUUCUGCGAACUUCGACGUCCCGGGGCCUCUGUGAUCCUACAUCUCUCCCUCUUCAGUAAAUGCCUACCUCACAGCCCUGUGGCCAGAAGCAAACUCGAGAACACAUGCAGCAGUGCCUGGCAUGCAGGAAAUGCUCAAUACCUUUCAUUGUUUAUUUCUUUACUUUCCAUACGAGGGGUUUCUGUCACCCCAGGCUACCGAUGAAGACCCUGAGACCGCUGCAAAGAAAACAGGAGUUGGACAGUAUAGGGACUGAGUAACCAGGCUCCUGCCCCGCCCACUCUGCCCACUGGGGUCCCCACGCUCGCUGCCUGGCAAGAGGUCAGGGUCUGGAGGCCUCCAGAACACACUCAGUUCAGUUGGGGAACCGUCACACCCUGGGAGUUGCCUUCUGGCCUGGUCUGCAGCCUAAAAGGGUGCAAAGAUGGGAGGGUUUGUGGGCACAGGUAUGCAGAGCACAGAGCAAGCUGAACCAGAGCC